UACAGAGGUGGCAAGCGUUGUUCGGAAUUACUGGGCGUACAGCGCGCGCAGGCGGACCGCCACGUGCCGUGUGACAAGCCACUGCUCAACAGUGGAGGGCCAGGGUACACGAGCGGUCUGGAGGCAGGGAGAGGGAUGUGGAAUGCCCGGUGGAGCGGUGAAAUGCGUAGAGAUCGGGCGGAACACCAGCGGCGAAGGCGGCAUCCUGGUCCUGUUCUGACGCUGAGGCGCGAAGGCGUGGGGAGCGAACGGG
rnacentral:rRNA from 1 species